ensembl:lncRNA
CUUUGCAGCCCCCCAGGCUCCUCUGCCCAUGGAAUUUUCCAGGCAAGAAUACUGGCAUGGGGUGCUAUUUCCUACUCCCAAGGAAUCUUCCUGACCCAGGGAUCAAACUCACAUCUCUUGUUAUCUCCUGUGUUGGCAGAUUUCAAAUCUCUUGGCUGGAUACAUGCAGUGCAUCAGAAAAAGCAGCUAGUUCAUGAUAAGCUGGAUUCUCCAGGAUCAUCGUCCAGAGGUCUGCACGAGGCAGACCAGCCUCACCGCGGCUUUGACUCUGCGUCCACCACCUCCUGCCUUUCGUGGCCACAAAAUUAAAAGACACUUGUUCCUUGGAAGGAAAGCUAUGACAAACCUGGACAUCACUUUGCC